AAUCUUAUAUUUUAUAUAAAAAAUUUUAAAUUGCAAAUUUAAAGAAAUAAAUUAAAAUUAAUUUAUUAAGAUUU
rnacentral:tRNA from 1 species